rnacentral:tRNA from 1 species
GGCUUUGUAGCUCAGCUGAUAGAUCGUGCGCUGUACGAUAGCGUAGAUGGCGUUCAUGCGUGGGUUCAAAUCCCACCGAGGCUG